rnacentral:rRNA from 1 species
UAGGGAAUCUUCGGCAAUGGGGGCAACCCUGACCGAGCAACGCCGCGUGAGUGAAGAAGGUUUUCGGAUCGUAAAGCUCUGUUGUAAGUCAAGAACGAGUGUGAGAGUGGAAAGUUCACACUGUGACGGUAGCUUACCAGAAAGGGACGGCUAACUACGUGCCAGCAGCCGCGGUAAUACGUAGGUCCCGAGCGUUGUCCGGAUUUAUUGGGCGUAAAGCGAGCGCAGGCGGUUUGAUAAGUCUGAAGUUAAAGGCUGUGGCUCAACCAUAGUUCGCUUUGGAAACUGUCAAACUUGGGUGCAGAAGGGGAGAGUGGAAUUCCAUGUGUAGCGGUGAAAUGCGUAGAUAUAUGGAGGAACACCGGUGGCGAAAGCGGCUCUCUGGUCUGUAACUGACGCUGAGGCUCGAAAGCGUGGGGAGCGAACAGGAUUAGAUACCCUGGUAGUCCACGCCGUAAACGAUGAGUGCUAGGUGUUGGAUCCUUUCCGGGACUCAGUGCCGCAGCUAACGCAUUAAGCACUCCGCCUGGGGAGUACGACCGCAAGGUUG